rnacentral:tRNA from 1 species
ACCUGGGUGGCUCAGCUGACUGAGCAUCUGACUUCAGCUCAGUUCAUGAUCUCGGGGUUCUGGGAUCGAGUCCUGCCUCAGGUU